rnacentral:lncRNA from 1 species
CAGAAACUCAGAAACUCACAAAGCAGGGGUGAGACCUCUGCUCGACAGCAAAGGCAGGCAGCGUCCCUCAUCCCUGCACCACGAGGGCGUCACAGCCCCUUCCCGGGUGGCCACAGCCACAGGGCACCCUGCGCCCUCUCCGGGCCUCGCCUUCCUCUUCUGAAACAGGACGGUGAUCUCAUCCCCCUCACAGGCUGAUGCAGAGACCUAAGGAGCACACUGGCUGUACACGGAGGAAAGCACCUCGGUUUCCUGAAGCAGUGUGGCAUUCGAGUCUGAUUUCCAGCAACUCCACUGCCCCCGCAGCCAGACUUUGCAUGAGCAGAGUUCGCAAACCUUCUAGAAUCUGGCGAGGAACAGAGGAAAUCAGCUAAAGGGCGUAACAGGAAGUGGGGCCUGGACCGGGAACCUGGUUCCUCCGCUCUUUCCCUAUAGGUACAGAAGGAACAGGCCCAGGAAUGAGUAAGAAUGUUUUUCUCUACAAAUAACUCACACCCAAGCCUCAAGCAGGGUUAGGGAGUGAGGCAUUGUGUCAUCACCUACCACAGGAAGCCCAGAGCCAGGGCAGACUCCAGACACGGCACGCAGGGUUGUGACUCUACACACCUGGCGCCUGGGGCACUGGUGUCUUCCAGGCAGCUCUGCCAGGUGUCACAUCUGGACAAGACAGAGAGGUACUAUCUUCCCCUUAGGAGUGAUGAACUCCUUUCCAGAAGCUUCCUGCAGGCUUCUCCUCAUGCCUCACGUCUAGAAUAGAGUGAUCUGCAUGUUCCAAGAACAGUCACUGGUUGGAGAGUUGGUAUCACCGUGACUGGGUGAGCCUGAUGGCUCUAAACUCUGGCUGUACAUCAGAAGCACACACUGAGCUUCUGAAAAGGAGAGGCCUGGGCCCCACUUCCAGAGAUUCAGUUCAAUGGAUCUCCUGUAGUACCUGAGCAUCAGAACUUCGUAGCCCCCGAAGGUGCAUGCUACGGCCAGAAAGAAACUCAGGGAAAAAUGGAUGUUGCAGAGACGUCGCCACAAAUGAAACCCACAGCGACAGGAGAAAGCGGCUCGCGUCCCGUUGAAGAAGAUGCUUCCCUGGAUUACUGUGCAGAGUUGAAGCUUUACCUUUCACCUGGAGAACGCGUGGUUCUGUGACCAAAACAGUGGCAGCUCCUCCACCAGCCCCUGCUGCUCCCAUCCCUUCCAGGGAAGAAACUUUUGUUUCUGUGAUGCCAGCGCAGGCAUUCAGAGCAAAGCCACUUCCAGGAAAUUCUAAGAAUGAGGUGCGGGCACCACUGGGCUGGCGCAUGAGAGUCAUGUGCCUCAGACUCCACGCCCCCUGCUGACCGUGCCCACAGGCUCCCAGGUUAUCUGUGGCGGAGGUCAGGGUCUGCUGGGCAGGGUCAGGGAUGUCUGGUUGGGCUGAAGCAGAUGCAGGGGUCCUGCGGUCACCACUGCCUCCGAUGAAGCUCUGAAUGGUCUUCUCUGUUCUUCCAUACGGUCAUGUGCCACACAACAACAUUUCCAACCACAGACAGCGUAUACUAUGGUUGUCCUGUAAGAGUAUAAGGGAGCUGAAAAAUUCCUAUCAUGUGAUGACAUUGUAGCCACCUCAACGUCUUAGCACAAUUAUAUAUAUAUACACACACACAUAUAUAUACUUUAUAUGUAGAGAGAGAGAGUGUGGCCUACGUGUGCAGUGUUUAUAAAGUCUGCAGUAGUCAUAGUGAUGUCCUAGGUCUUCACAUUCACUCCCGACUCACCCACUGACUCACAAGAGCAGCUGCCAGUCCUGCAAGCUCCACUCAUGAUACACACACGCCACUGUGUCAUAAUUGCCGACAGCACUCAGCGCAGUGACAUGCAGGUCUCAGCCUGGCACGACAGGCUGUCUCAUAUCGCCAGGUGUAAAGCAGCUCAUAGCACGCGGGUGUGUGGAAGUUCACUCUGCGAUGCUCACACAACAGCAAAUUGCCUGAGGACCCAUUUCUCAGAAGGUAUCCUUGUCCUUAAGCAACACAUGACUGACAUUUGUAAAAGGGGCAAGAGACAGCUUGUGCUUCUCAGAAAAGGUGCCCAUUUUCAACUGGUUUAGGAAAUUUAGAAAGAGGGAGGAGGAGUAUUAAAGUGGCUAAGAGUGUUUCUUUCCAGUUGGUUGAUUCUGCACCUCACACACCUAAGGAGUCUGGGAAACAUCCUGGGUAGCAGUGGUGGAGAGUGGUCGUAAUUUACAUUGAAAUGGGGAUCACCACUGCAUAUACAGAUGGCCUUGCUAGGUGCUGAGGAAGCUCUGAUGCCCCCGCGAGGAUCAAACAUGAGUCGUGGAGACAGGACAUGGUGACAUGUAGGAGAACACAGUUGAAUGCCAGGUAAGCCCCACGUGGGCCUCAUGGGUUCAGAGGCUUUUUUCAGAAUUACUUCCAGUAGAACGGUUGCCCGUCACAGGGAGCAUAUCCAAGAGGGCGUGUGUGUGAAGCUGGAAAAGUGGCUUGUACUGGGAAUGGGGUGUCUCAUAUCUCUAUAGAGAGACCGCAGGGAGCUGAGGACUGAAGGAGAGGUUAGAGCAGCUCAGGCUCAAGCCCUCUUCCCCAGAAUCACCAGGAACUUGCCAGGGAGGCUUUUGUUGCUGUUGUUGCAAAAUCCAAUUGCAAUUACAACAAUAAGUGAGGAAUUAAACUACAAGUAUGAAUAGCAUGGGCAGCUUAAUUCUUAAUAAGAAAGCCUAAGGUGCUUUCAACUAAACCACUUUCUGAAGUUUUUUUUUUACCAAAAAUAAAUUAUAUCCCAAAAUUUAUAAGAAAAGGUACAAGAUAAAAAAGUGCCCCCUUUUAGAGCUAAAGUUGUCAAGCUGCAGAUAUUUGAUUGAUUUGUCCGUGAGAGGGUGGGAGGGAAGAAGCCUCCUUAUGUGAAGCCGUCUCAGAAUUUCUACUCCCAGACCCACAUGCGGAUGUGGAAAGCCAAACAUGUGAUUUCAGGCAAAUACAUUAAAGAGUAAGAGAUAGAAAAGUAUGUAAUUGGAUGUAUCAUUAUGAUAUUUUCCACUGUCAGCAAAAGGAAAAAGAUAUUGAUUGUUCACACGCGCAAAGAGAAUCUCACAAACACACUCUUCCUGCAGCCAAUGUCCAUUUAAUCAUUGUGAUAAUGCAGCUACCUAGAUUUUUACUCUCCACAGAUCCAUUAGGUUUAAAAGCUCUUAAAACUUUGAUUCUCUACUGAAAAAUGGAAUGCUUUCUUUCUGGCCAUUAUAAAAUAUACUUUGCAGUAGUUUGUGCUGAUUCCAACCGUCCAUCUUUACAGUUGUUAAAUCAGGUUUAGACUAAGCUGCCUCCUUACAUAUUUUAAGUUUAGCCUGAAGGUUUUUCGGUAUAUCAUGAACUAUAACAAGCGGAGGUGUAAAUGAACUGUAUACUGCUCUUGCGCCAAUCACUCAGUUUGGGCCAAUAAAACGCAGCCAACUGUUUGAAUCAUGUUCAAAUAACGCAAACGAUGUUCAAAUACCACAAACGCCGAGCUGUACCCCAUCCAGCUGUUUCUGCACCUCACUUCCAUUUUCUAUACGUCACUUUCCUUUUUCUAUCCAUAAAUCUUCCUCCAUGUGGCUGCGCUGGAGUCUCUGAGCCUACUCUGGCUCAGAAGGCUGGCUGAUUCAUGAAUCGUUCAUUGAUCAAUUAAAGUCCCUUUCAUUUAAUUUGGCUGAAGUUUUUCUUUUAUCUCACUUGCAUUUUUUUCUUUUGAGACAAAGAAAAACAAUUAUUAACAAGCCAGAAUAGAAGUUUCGCAUUGUCAAAGUGCAUGUGCAGUCCAUUCAUUUUUUCUUGUUAUUGUUAGUCAUCUUAUAAAUACAGAACCACAAACUUCACUUCCUUUCGUAGAAUAUACCUCUUUCGGCUCUGGGAAUUACAAACCCUUUACAAUUUUACCAGUUUCGGAAAAAAACCAAUAGGUUUCUUAUCAGAAACUGUGUUCUCUCCCCAGAUGCCACUCUUUGCAUUUAAAUAACUGAAAUUGAGGACUUUGAUACCACAAACAUCAAAGCUCUCUGUUGACUGCAGGGUCCACUCUCAAAUGCACCUUAAUCCCAUUUGAGCACCCCAAUUCUUAAAGGCAGGGUAUUGUGGUUUCUGAAUUCACCAUGGCUGUCUUUUUAUGGAAGUUCACAGACAGGAGUAAUCUUUGAAUAGCAGUAAUCUAGAGGUGGCGACAUAUGACUUCUUCAUGUCUUUGGCAACUUUGUUUAAUUUUUUUAAAGUUGCUAGUCUCUUUUUCUUAAUGAACGGUCCUUGUUUCAUGUUCGUGGCCAUUUUCAUGGUCAGCCGUCUGGGCAAGCUGCUUUUUCUCUUCUUGUGGUAUCACUCCUCCUCUCCUUACUGCUCAGCUGUAGUUUCACACAACGAGCUAAGUGGAGCUCGUGGGGUCACUUACAGGAAACAAGGAGCAUGACUCGCACCCAUGAAGUUAGAAAUGGCACACGGGGAGGGGAGAUAGAGCAGAUCCGUGCACAGCACUCAUGUGUAAAAUAUGCCUGCACCACUGUCUGCUUUGCGUUUGAGUUCAAAACAAAAGGCUUCCGUGAAAUAUAAUAAGCUAUAUAUAUUUUUCAGAGUGACAAGAAUUGUCUCGCUUCCCUUCAGUUCCCAGACUUCUCCAAAGUUAGUCUAAUGUCAUGACAUUGCCUGGGGAGGCCAGAGGCUGGCCUCAGAGACGAGAAAGCAGGUAGCUUGGCUUGGGCUUGUUUCUUAAGGGUCUAGGUGCCUACAGCGUAGAAAUUCAGCAUUUGCAGAGCACCGAGGUGAGGGGCUGGGGGACGGCAGAGCCUAGGACUUGCAAUAAUGCAAACUCAAGACUGCUGAUUCAAGUCAAGCAGGCUAGAGAAGGGGAAGGCUGAAUUUCUUCAGCAACUGGAACUGAGCUACGUGCAUUCAGUUUCUCUCAACACAUUCUGCUCUGAAUCAAACUGUAUUUUAAACUUCAACACAUUCUGCUCUGAAUCAAACUAUAUUUAAAACUAUUUUAAACUAUAUAUUAAAGCCGUUUUAAACUAUAUUUUAAAACUUACGUUAAAGUUCCUGGGUGUGAUUAUAAUAUUGUGGUUUUGUAGGAGAAUGUCCUUGUUGUUAGGAAACAUCCAGAAAUUUUUAAAUAUGGCCUGUGCAACUUACUUUCAAGUGGUUUCUAAAACAAAGAGAGAGGGGCAGAGAGAGUGCAAAUACGGCCAAUGUUAAUAAUUCAUCAAUCUACAGUGAAGGUCAAACAGCGGUUCUUUGUACUAUUCUUUUAUCUUUUUUGUGAGUUUGAAAUAUUUAAAAAAAUUGGGGAAAAUACUUAGGAAUAACUGUAACAAAAAUACAGGACCUAUAUGAAUCAAUGUACAAUAUAAUAUUUAAGGAUAUAAAAUGCAACCCAAAUUCAUGAAAAGAUUAUAUAUGAUUAGAGAAGUGCAGAUAUGUGAGAUAAUUUUUUCUGGUGUUCAUAUUUUUAAAAUCUCACACACUUUUAUAUAUUAGGACAUUAAAUUGUAGCAAAGAAAAUACAGACCAUUUACUCAUUCAUUCUGCCUCUCUCCGUUUGCUCAAUGAACGCUGACUCAUCACUCGGGCUCACACAGCGGCUCAGCCCCUGGCCCCGGCUCCAGUUCCCCAUUCUGUGUGGGCAGGACAGAAGCGGGAAGCGGGAAGCGAGCGGGGGUGCAGGCGGGGGGACAUGAAUCGGAACAACCGUGGCUGUCAAAGAUGCCGGUGCAUCCAUCUCACUACUCCAGGCUAAGAAGGGACAGACUCAGAAGCUGGGGAGAGGGUUGUGAGGGCCGUGACUCUGGAGAUAACCAUAUCUGCAGGGCUGCUCGGGGUCCACACAGGAGCUCCUCACUUCCUGCUGGUGCUGUGCUGCACUGUUCCCAAAGUGAUGGAGCAAGAGAAUUUGGCCUGGUCCUACUGUGUGCUGUUGCUGUGUGACCCUAGGCAUGUUGCUUCACGUCUCUGGGGCUCAGUCUCCACCUGCAAAAUGAGGUGGGUAGGACCAACUACCUCUCCAAGGUGCCUCCAGCGCUGGUGUUCUAUGAUGGGCUGCCCUGUUUCUUCCAGUCUGGUCAUUUCUUGCAGAUUAAACCUGCUGGGAUAUAACUGGGUGCUACGGUGGGGAUAUUAAGCCCCUUCAAUGCUAAGUGUUGAUGUCACACAUUAACUAUAUCUGAAGCCAACAGAUCAGUACCAAAUUUUGGGCCCACCCUGCCAAGGAGAAGCCGUGGCCUCUCCAGGCCCUUUGCAGCUCCUCCCUCCAGCAUGCAAGCUGGUGCUGGAGGGGCCCUUUCCCUCAGGAGAUCCGGUGCCCCUGCCUGGGAGCCCACACACCUACUGUGCAUGGUGGGAUCUAGAAGUCCCUGCACAGCUCCCUUGGCUCCAGCUCUGCUUCUGUGAUGUGAAUUCCAGCCUUAAUUAGACAGCAGGAGCCUUUCGUACCCAUUUCUGCUCUUUCUCCAAAGUACAGGUGGCUGGGCAACAGCUAUGUGGAGAGAUUUUUUUUCAGGUCUUUGCUCUGUUCCUCUUUUCAGAAGGGAGAAAAAACAGUGGGGGGAAAAGAUGUUUUCUCACUUAAUAGAAGCUGAUUAGCCUUCGAGCUUCCUGAGAACUGAGACAACGAGGUCCCCUCCAUCUUUGAGUCAGCCUGGCCUCGGGGACAGAGGAUGGAUUUUGGAGUCGGACAAGCCCCGGCUGAGGCUCCCUUCAGUCAUGACCUUCCAAGACGAGAAGCUUCACGGCAGGCAAUGAACAGAGACGGCGUCAUCUCCAAGGCUCAGUGGAGCGAGUCACGUCACCCUCACUUAGCUGCAUGGCGCAUACCAUGAGUCUUGACCAUCACCCGUGGCUUCAUAAAAACUGACCUUUAUUCAGUGAGACCUUCCUGAGUGUCCGUGCUGCGUUUAACUCUUUGAAACAUAAUCUCAUUUAGUCCUCACAGCAUCACCCAGGAGGGAGAUACUAUCUUCAUUCCCGUUUUGCAGAGUCCCCCUCAGCACAGGUGAGCUGAGGACAAUGAGGAUGGCCAAGAGGCCGGUGCAUCUGAGGCACUUGCACGUGGGCUGCUCUGCCACUGAGGACUUCCAUGAGGACUCUGGAGGAAACCUGUUGAUUUGACUUAUUUUGCUAGAUGAUGUUGAAACAGGAGAGUUCCCUGAGACCCCUUGCAGGACAAGCAAAAGCGGUGUGGCUUGUCUGUUCAUGCGGCACCUGCUCAAAAGCCUUAUGGGAGGGGGAGCACGCAGAUGGGCUGGUGCAAGAGCUGGGGUGAACACCCCUGGGCUCCAGUCCCAUGGAAGCAUCCAGGAGUGUGUGCCUGAGGCUCCUGAAGCCCAAGUGGGCGUGUGUUACAGUGCACUCUUUUAGCUUUGCCAUCCACAGACGGCUUAAGUGUUAACCAGCUCAGUGCCCCCUUAAUACCCAGGUCCUUGUCCCAUGUCCAGGAAGAAUCAGGUCACACACGGACUUGAAGGAUGAAUGCAGGGAUUUUAUUGGGUGGUAGAGGCGGCUUUCACUGGGAUGGAUGGGGAGCUGGAAGGAGGAGGGAGUGGGAAGAUUAUCUUACCCUGGAAUUUGGCCAUCAUCGGCUGAUCUCCUCUCUUACUAUCCCCAGUCGAACACCCCUCGACAUUCAGAUGCCCCUUGUCUUCUUUCUGCUGAGCCAUUCUGCUGAUCUUCUGCUCUUCAGUUCAUCUCCUUGACUGCUAGUGGAACUUGUGGGUUGGGGUUUAUAUGGGUACAGGAUGGGGGCCAUGGUGGGCCAGAAGGCAACUUUUGGGCAUGAAAACGAGAAUGCUCAUUCUCGUGUAAGGCUGCAGGUUUCCAGGUUUGAGGCUGGGGCCUUUGCCAGGGAACCGCCCGCUUCUACCCAGUAUUUCCCUGUCUUCUGUCUAUAUCUGUUUAUGACAGUCUACUUGGUCAGAAUAAAGUGAAUCCAGAAGAAACA